GAAACUUAAAGGAAUUGGCGGGGAGGCACUACAACGGGUGACGCGUGCGGUUCAAUUAGAUUCUACACCGUGAACCUCACCAGGAGCGACAGCAGAAUGAAGGUCAGUCUGAAGAACUUACCUGACACCCUGAGAGGAGCUGCAUGGCCGACGUCAGCCUGUGCCGUGAGGUGACCUGUUAAAUCAGGUAACAGGCAAGACCCACAUGCAUAUUUACCAAGUGUACUAUAUGCAGAUUGCCUUGGUAACAAGGAUGAAAGUGUGGGCUACGUUAGGUGAGUACAGCCCGAAUCCCCUGGGCGACACGCGCGCGUCAAUGGUGAAUACAAUGAGAUGCAACUCUGAAAAGAGAAGCUAAUCCCUUAAAGUUCAUCUUAGUUCAGAUUGAGGUUUGUAACUCAACCUCAUGACGCUGGAAUCCGUAGUAAUCGUUUGUUAUCAACGAACGGUGAAUAAGUCACUGUCUCUUGCACACACUGCCCGUCAAACCAACCGAGUUUAUUUUAUGGUAAAACUUUUCGAAGGAGAACUUUGAGUAGACAAGGGUAGGUUAAGUCGUAACAA
rnacentral:rRNA from 1 species